AGCGAACGCUGGCGGCAGGCUUAACACAUGCAAGUCGAGCGGGCAUCCUUGUGGUGUCAGCGGCAGACGGGUGAGUAACGCGUGGGAACGUGCCCUUCGGUUCGGAAUAACUCAGGGAAACUUGAGCUAAUACCGGAUACGCCCUUUUGGGGAAAGGUUUACUGCCGAAGGAUCGGCCCGCGUCUGAUUUGCUAGUUGGUGAGGUUAUGGCUCACCAAGGCGACGAUCAGUAGCUGGUCUGAGAGGAUGAUCAGCCACACUGGGACUGAGACACGGCCCAGACUCCUACGGGAGGCAGCAGUGGGGAAUAUUGGACAAUGGGGGCAACCCUGAUCCAGCCAUGCCGCGUGAGUGAUGACGGCCUUAGGGUUGUAAAGCUCUUUUCUCCGGGACGAUAAUGACGGUACCGGAGGAAUAAGCCCCGGCUAACUUCGUG
rnacentral:rRNA from 1 species